rnacentral:piRNA from 1 species
UCACCACAUGCUGAUAACUGAGUUUUCAACU